CUACGGGGCGCAGCAGUGAGGAAUAUUGCACAAUGGGGGGAACCCUGAUGCAGCAACGCCGCGUGGAGGAUGACGCAUUUCGGUGUGUAAACUCCUUUUAUAUGUCAAGAAAAUGACGGUAGCAUAUGAAUAAGCACCGGCUAACUCCGUGCCAGCAGCCGCGGUAAUACGGAGGGUGCAAGCGUUACUCGGAAUCACUGGGCGUAAAGGACGCGUAGGCGGGUUGGAAAGUCAGGUGUGAAAUCCUACAGCUUAACUGUAGAACUGCACUUGAAACUUCUAAUCUAGAGUAGGGGAGGGGGAGAUGGAAUUAGUGGUGUAGGGGUAAAAUCCGUAGACAUCACUAGGAAUACCUAAAGCGAAGGCGAUCUCCUGGAACAUUACUGACGCUAAGGCGUGAAAGCGUGGGGAGCAAACAGGAUUAGAUACCCUCGUAGUC
rnacentral:rRNA from 1 species